rnacentral:rRNA from 1 species
GACGAACGCUGGCGGCGUGCUUAACACAUGCAAGUCGAACGGAAAGGCCCUGCUCUUGUGGGGUGCUCGAGUGGCGAACGGGUGAGUAACACGUGAGUAACCUGCCCUUGACUUUGGGAUAACUUCAGGAAACUGGGGCUAAUACCGGAUAGGAGCUCCUGCUGCAUGGUGGGGGUUGGAAAGUUUCGGCGGUUGGGGAUGGACUCGCGGCUUAUCAGCUUGUUGGUGGGGUAGUGGCUUACCAAGGCUUUGACGGGUAGCCGGCCUGAGAGGGUGACCGGCGACAUUGGGACUGAGGUACGGCCCAGACUCCUACGGGAGGCAGCAGUGGGGAAUAUUGCACAAUGGGCGGAAGCCUGAUGCAGCAGCGCCGCGUGCGGGAUGACGGCCUUCGGGUUGUAAACCGCUUUCGCCUGUGACGAAGCGUGAGUGACGGUAAUGGGUAAAGAAGCACCGGCUAACUACGUG